GGGGCUGACCUGGCUUCGACGAGGGUACGGAGUUGGAACAGGGCAUGCCGAGCACCAGUAAGCUCGUAAAUCCACUGGAAACAAAGUAACUGCGAACGAUCAAACGUACGCUCUCGCCGCUUAAUACCGGUGAGCCUCGCAACAGUUGGCCUAUGGGCUGGGUCUGAGGGGUAACCCAAGGACUGCGAGGUCAUGCACAUGGGCUCGCUUGGCGCCGCGUCAUUCGGCGUCGGGUCAAAUCAAGUGACUCGGGGAGACGGUAGCGUGCUGCUGCGCGACCGGCGCCCUCAAAACCAAAUCAGUCAGCUAAGCACGUAGAUCUGUCCGGCAAUGGCUUUCGGACGGGGGUUCGAUUCCCCCCAGCUCCACCA
rnacentral:tmRNA from 1 species